AUUACUCCCCCCACUGCUGUUUGUCUUUCCUUGCUGUCUGUCUUUGAGAUGCACUGUGAUGAAGAGCAAUGGGGCUCCUGAACUGUGAGGGUGGGCGAAGAAGAAGCUCUGCUCCACCCAACACAGCCCAACACGAUGGAGGAGGAGUGCCCUGAGCCAGCUAUGGCACUUCUGUAUAUAUAACUCCGCUAUCAAAGCAAGAUGCAGACUGCUGUCAUUUACCAUUUGUUGUAUCACAGGAAAAUGAUUAAAAGCAAGUUUUUGCCUGUCUGCUGGAGAUGCUCGUGCUGAUUUCUGAAGCUCCGCUCCUUUGCACAACAUCUGAUCAAAGCUGGUUAUGACACGUGUUCUGGCAGAGGACCUCCUGGUACCUCUCACAGAAGCAGCCCAAGUUUAGCACUGUGUGUCCCUGCUCUCCAGAAUGGAAGCUCGGCCUUUCUGCAGCAGUCAAUAUCUCUUAGACCCGAGCGAUCCAUCUUCUGGCUAAUUUCCAACAAAGAUCACAAUGAAUAUAAAAGAAAUCAUUGAUUGCCGCCAGGAAAUGCAUUAACAAAUCUGUCUCGAGCUCAGUGGCUCCGAGUGGAGCAAAUUUAGUAACUGUCAGUGAUGGGGAAGUCCUCAGUAAUCAGCUGAGCUGACCCAGUGGGAAAGGAGCUGCCCCUGAACCAGGGGGACAGAAUGGGACGGUACAGUGUGUGCUUCCAAAGGGAAUGCUUCAAAAAGAAGCAGGGCAGAAUGUAGC
rnacentral:lncRNA from 1 species